GUCCCCGUGGCUCAAUUGGAUAGAGCGUUGGCCUCCGGAGCCAAAGGUUUCAGGUUCGAAUCCUGACGGGGACGC
rnacentral:tRNA from 1 species